ACAGAGUUCUGCAAGGAGAUUGGAAGAAAAUGUGAGGACUGAACCCAUAAGAAUAUUUUUCUUUCUGUUUUUAUCAGGAGGCAUUUUGACCAUCAGCAUUUUUAUUUACUUGCUCUGGCUUUGGCAUGAUUUGCUAUUGGAGAGAUAUAACAGUAUUGUUUUUCUUCUGAUGGAGACAAAAUAUUCAUUUGUAAUCCUGCCCCCUGCCGCACCCCGCCCCCCUCCGCCACCACCAAGUGAUCAUCCAGCUGACACUUGAGGAACUUUGAUCAUGAGGAGUUCAUCAGUCUUUGGUCAGACUAUUAAAUCUUUCCACAUCGUAGUGAGUUUAUUAUAGUUUUCUUGAUGCAUAAUUCUGCCUGCUACAAAGAUAGAAUUACUUAAGGAUGUUUGAAAUACAGGUAUACCUCAGAGAUACUGCAGGUUUGGUUCCAGA
rnacentral:lncRNA from 1 species